rnacentral:sRNA from 1 species
AUGCGAUGAGUCGAUUGUGGUUUUACCACAUUUGCGCUGAGGAAGUCAUUAAGGCAGGAAGCCGAUUUUGAUAAAUUGUGUGAACCUUUUUAUCACAUCUUUCGAGAUGCCUCAACCCUCUAUUUUUAAUAGAGGGUUUUU